UUAAUGGAGAGUUUGAUCCUGGCUCAGGACGAACGCUGGCGGCGUGCCUAAUACAUGCAAGUCGAGCGAGGUUGUGUAGAAGCUUGCUUCUACACAACCUAGCGGCGGACGGGUGAGUAACACGUAGGCAACCUGCCCACAAGACAGGGAUAACUACCGGAAACGGUAGCUAAUACCCGAUAUAUCCUUUUCCUGCAUGGGAGAAGGAGGAAAGACGGAGUUAUCUGUCACUUGUGGAUGGGCCUGCGGCGCAUUAGCUAGUUGGUGGGGUAAAGGCCUACCAAGGCGACGAUGCGUAGCCGACCUGAGAGGGUGAUCGGCCACACUGGGACUGAGACACGGCCCAGAC
rnacentral:rRNA from 1 species